UGCUUAACACAUGCAAGUCGAGCGGUAAGGCCCUUCGGGGUACACGAGCGGCGAACGGGUGAGUAACACGUGGGUGAUCUGCCUCGCACUUCGGGAUAAGCCUGGGAAACUGGGUCUAAUACCGGAUAUGACUUCUGGUCGCAUGGCUGGGGGUGGAAAGAUUUAUCGGUGCGAGAUGGGCCCGCGGCCUAUCAGCUUGUUGGUGGGGUAAUGGCCUACCAAGGCGACGACGGGUAGCCGGCCUGAGAGGGCGACCGGCCACACUGGGACUGAGACACGGCCCAGACUCCUACGGGAGGCAGCAGUGGGGAAUAUUGCACAAUGGGCGAAAGCCUGAUGCAGCGACGCCGCGUGAGGGAUGACGGCCUUCGGGUUGUAAACCUCUUUCGACAGGGACGAAGCGCAAGUGACGGUACCUGUAGAAGAAGCACCGGCCAACUACGUGCCAGCAGCCGCGUGGUGGGGUAAUGGCCUACCAAGGCGACGACGGGUAGCCGGCCUGAGAGGGCGACCGGCCGUAAUACGUAGGGUGCGAGCGUUGUCCGGAAUUACUGGGCGUAAAGAGCUUGUAGGCGGUUUGUCGCGUCGUCUGUGAAAACUCACAGCUCAACUGUGAGCUUGCAGGCGAUACGGGCAGACUUGAGUACUGCAGGGGAGACUGGAAUUCCUGGUGUAGCGGUGAAAUGCGCAGAUAUCAGGAGGAACACCGGUGGCGAAGGCGGGUCUCUGGGCAGUAACUGACGCUGAGAAGCGAAAGCGUGGGUAGCGAACAGGAUUAGAUACCCUGGUAGUCCACGCCGUAAACGGUGGGCGCUAGGUGUGGGUUUCCUUCCACGGGAUCCGUGCCGUAGCUAACGCAUUAAGCGCCCCGCCUGGGGAGUACGGCCGCAAGGCUAAAACUCAAAGAAUUGACGGGGGCCCGCACAAGCGGCGGAGCAUGUGGAUUAAUUCGAUGCAACGCGAAGAACCUUACCUGGGUUUGACAUACACCGGAAACCUGCAGAGAUGUAGGCCCCCUUGUGGUCGGUGUACAGGUGGUGCAUGGCUGUCGUCAGCUCGUGUCGUGAGAUGUUGGGUUAAGUCCCGCAACGAGCGCAACCCUUGUCCUGUGUUGCCAGCGGAUUAUGCCGGGGACUCGCAGGAGACUGCCGGGGUCAACUCGGAGGAAGGUGGGGACGACGUCAAGUCAUCAUGCCCCUUAUGUCCAGGGCUUCACACAUGCUACAAUGGCCGGUACAGAGGGCUGCGAUACCGUGAGGUGGAGCGAAUCCCUUAAAGCCGGUCUCAGUUCGGAUCGGGGUCUGCAACUCGACCCCGUGAAGUUGGAGUCGCUAGUAAUCGCAGAUCAGCAACGCUGCGGUGAAUACGUUCCCGGGCCUUGUACACACCG
rnacentral:rRNA from 1 species